CCGCCAUUGUUCCUCCCGCUGUUAUUGAAAAACCUACACACUCGGUUGAAAUAUUAUAGAAUAUAUAUUUUAAAAACAACUUGAGGAAUGAUUAUAAAAAAUGUUUGACAUGUUUCUGUGGACAUUAUGAAGACUAUUUGGAAUUUCCUGUGGAUCUUUCCUGUGGAUUUCUGAACAUAACGUGACAAACAAACAGAGCUUGUCAGACAAGAUCUCAGAAUGAAAGUGUGUCAUGUCACACAAGUACCCUUGUGACUUCUCCAUUGUUGCCAGAGUCUCCCUCAACUAUGAAAAGGACAUGUCAUCAUGAGGCCUAUCAUAGUGACCCAAAUUACUGCCCUGAUGACACAGAUGGCAUCAUCAACAAUAAUAGGUAAUGGGUGUUAUGUGAAAAGUUGCAUUAAAAAAUACCCAGCUUGAUAAAAUGGUAGGCUAAUUCCCCAGCCAAGCAGAUAUUUGUAUUUAUUUAUUUUUAUUUCACCUUUAUUUAACCAGGUAGGCAAGUUGAGAACAAGUUCUCAUUUACAAUUGCGACCUGGCCAAGAUAAAGUAAAGCCGUUUGUGGGCUAUACUCGGCCUUGUCUCAGGAUGGUAAGUUGGUGGUUGAAGAUAUCCCUCUAGUGGUGUGGGGGCUGUGAUUUGGCAAAGUGGGUGGGGUUAUAUCCUUCCUGUUUGGCCCUGGCCGGGGAUGUCAUCGGAUGGAGCCACAGUGUCUCCUGACCCCUCCUGCCUCCAGUAUUUAUGCUGCAGUAGUUUAUGUGUCGUGGGGGCUAGGGUCAGUUUGUUAUAUCUGGAGUACUUCUCCUGUCCUAUCCGGUGUCCUGUGUGAAUUUAAGUAUGCCCUCUCUAAUUCUCUCUUUCUCUCUUUCUUUCUCUCUCUCGGAGGACCUGAGCCCUAGGACCAUGCCCCAGGACUACCUGACAUGAUGACUCCUUGCUGUCCCCAGUCCACCUCCAGUUUCAACUGUUCUGCCUGUGAUUAUUAUUAUUUGACCAUGCUGGUCAUUUAUGAACAUUUGAAUAUCUUGGCCAUGUUCUGUUGUAAUCUCCACCCGGCACAGCCAGAAGAGGACUGGCCACCCCACAUAGCCUGGUUCCUCUCUAGGUUUCUUCCUAGGUUUUGGCCUUUCUAGGGAGUUUUUCCUAGCCACCGUGCUUCUACACCUGCAUUGCUUGCUGUUUGGGGUUUUAGGCUGGGUUUCUGUACAGCACUUUGAGAUAUCAGCUGAUGUACGAAGGGCUAUAUUAAUAAAUUUGAUUCGACAACAACACAGAGUUACACAUGGAGUAAAACAAACAUACAGUCAAUAAUACAGUAGAAAAAUAAGUCUAUAUACAAUGUGAGAAAAUUAGGUGAGAUAAGGGAGGUAAAGGCAACAAAAAAAGAACAAAAGAAAGAAGGCCGUAUAUACAUACAUAUAACUAUUAGAGUCAUUUUGGUUUUGAAGUGCAUUAUAGCAAAAAGCUUUGUCCAUUCUUUAGAACAAAAUGCAAUUCACCACUGUCUAUUAUAUUAUCCUGUCUCAGGCCCUCCCAGUCAACACUACCUCAUAAGAUUGCUUGCUGCAGUUGUUCAAGAGAUGUCAUGUUUACAGCCGAACAUGUAUCAUAGAGAAGACCAGCAAGGGGGCCCCUAUGGUGGAAAUGACAAGAUUGUUAUAAUGCUGUUAUUGCAUCAAAUGGUUGUUUUAUGCAACAGAAUAAGACGUUGUUAGAAUGCUCAUCUGUGUUUGUUCUACUGAGGAUGGGCCUCUGGAAAAUGUAAGAUGUCUUUGGGUGACACGGCAUUCCAGAGCAUGAGUUAAUGUUUCUGUACUGGGGUACCAGGGGGAGAUGGCUCCAGUAUGGAGUUGGGGGGCCAGACACGGGUCUCUACACAAUGAGAACUGUUUAACAGCAGAUACUAUCUGAUGUGAAUUCUAAGUAUCUUUCAUACAAAUCUUAACCUUGUGACUCAUUCCAUAGAUCUGUUCUGUGUGUCAUGUAGACUGAAGGAGGAUGGACUUUGCUAUAAAAUGCUGUGGCUCAAACCAGCUCCAUUACCAACCAGCUCCGUUACUG
ensembl:lncRNA